rnacentral:tRNA from 1 species
GCUUCCGUAGCGUAUUCGGUAGCGCGUCAUUCUCAUAAUCUGAAGGUCGUGAGUUCGAGCCUCACCGGGGGCA